GCCCGCUCAGAAACUUAAAUAGAAUUGACGGGGCCCGCACAAGCGGUGGAGUAUGUGGUUUAAUUCGAUGCAACGCGAAGAACCUUACCUGGUCUUGACAUCCCGGAGACCCUUAGGAAACUAGGGGGUGCUUCCAUCUGGAAGAAUCUGGAGACAGGUGCUGCAUGGCUGUCGUCAGCUCGUGUCGUGAGAUGUUGGGUUAAGUCCCGCAACGAGCGCAACCCUUGCCUUUAGUUGCCAGCAGUUCGGCUGGGCACUCUAAAGGGACUGCCGGUGUUAAACCGGAGGAAGGUGGGGAUGACGUCAAGUCCUCAUGGCCUUUAUGACCAGGGCUACACACGUACUACAAUGGCCGAUACAAAGGGCAGCGACACUGCGAGGUGAAGCCAAUCCCGUAAAAUCGGUCUCAGUCCGGAUUGGAGUCUGCAACUCGACUCCAUGAAGUUGGAAUCGCUAGUAAUCGUGGAUCAGCAUGCCACGGUGAAUACGUUCCCGGGCCUU
rnacentral:rRNA from 1 species